GACGUAGGAUGCAAGCGUUGUCCGGAUUUAUUGGGCGUAAAGAGUUCGUAGGUGGUUUGUUAAGUCUGAUGUUAAAGACUGGGGCUCAACCUCGGGACUGCAUUGGAUACUGGCAGACUUGAGUGCGGUAGAGGCAAGUGGAAUUCCAGGUGUAGCGGUGAAAUGCGUAGAUAUGCGGAGGAACACCGAUGGCGAAGGCAAUCCCCCUGGGCCUGCACUGACGCUCGUGCACGAAAGCGUGGGGAGCAAACAGG
rnacentral:rRNA from 1 species